CUCAUUAAAUCAGUUAUAGUUUAUUUGAUGGUCCCUUUUGUCUUUUUUUACCUACUUGGAUAACCGUGGUAAUUCUAGAGCUGAUACAUGCGCAAGGUCCCGAGCGCGGGGGGUGGGGCUUCACGGCUCCAUUCUCGCAUGCGCAGAGGGAUGUAUUUAUUAGGUUAAACAACCAGCAUUUUAACAAUCAUCUGGUGAUUCCUAGUAACUCUUUUGGAUCGCAUUCAUG
rnacentral:rRNA from 1 species